GUUUUAAUAGUUUUAUAAAAAUAUAGGUCUUGUAAACCUAAGAUAAGUUUCACUUUUAAAACU
rnacentral:tRNA from 1 species